rnacentral:lncRNA from 1 species
CAGCACCCGCUGCUCGUUGAGAAGAGUAAGAAUGAUACGUGCUUUCACGUCAGAGUCUCCAAUAACGGCAGAAAAUAAUAACGCCUCCCGACUUUCUCCCACUUUUCCCGAAAUAUUUGCAUAAUGUCACAAACCCUGCUGCUGCGACUGUUCUUCAAAUAGAGGACGCCGUAAUGAGAGAAAUAAUGUAGCCUAAACUACUGAAAACAGGCCUUUUUACUAGAUUAAAUCAUGACAGGAGUGUUUUGAUUCUUAUUACAGAGAUGGAGUCCAGACAGGCUACUUUAGGAAACCUUCGGAAUAGACAUGUAGGCCUAUAGAGAGAAUCAGCGAACUCACACAUGCAACCUUUUGAUCCAACCUUUUUUAUACCUGCCAGCAGUUCAGCUGCAGUCACAGCAGUCCUCUGUGGUAUUUAAUUUACCAGCUGCACCAGAUCCUGCUACACUGGCCGUGAAGAGAGAAACUUUUGAGGAGCCCCUAAUAGAUACAGAUAAUUCACAAUGAUAUUACAUACUCAUGUUUUCACUCAUUCUCUCACUCACUCACAAACACGUUGUUGAGCUGUAUAUUCAUUGUCACUUUGUGCAUCUCUCUUUUAGAUCUGCCCUGCACUCCACUGCCCCUGAGCGCCUCUUCCAGAAGUACACGUACUAGGCUUAUUAAGGCUGGCUCCUCACUGAACACCAGCCCUGAGAAGCUCCUCCAGACACCACAACUGUGGCUAACUGUGGCUAACUGUGGGAAGUGACACAGUCAGUGUCCCAGUCACAGCCUUGCCACCUGCUGUUGUCAAUCCACCAUCCUUGUCAACCCAAGACAUCCCUCUGACUAAAGAUGAGAGGAUGGUCCUGGGCAUCUUGGAGAAGCAGCAACCGCAGCUAGAUGGGCCACAACAAGAACAGUGGAAGCAGCAGAAGCAGACAAAAACAUGUAUUUCCUGUGGUCAGGCCAAGUCCCAAUACCGCAAGAAUGGUUUGUCUGUCCACUUUUUCUAUCAGCGUGGACAGGUGAGGUAUUUUUACUGUUCCACCAAGGUCUUCCAGACUUAUGGUGCAGAGGGCCUCACAAACCCCAAAAUGUAUUUUGAUGACUUUGCUUCCACUGAAUUCUUUCAGGGUGAACUUAAAGCCACAAAAGAACGUGUGGCACAAAAGAAGACCAAAACGAAGUCAGCUGAUCUGCAACCCUCUAGGCAUAUGUGCAGGUUUUGUCAUCUGCAGAUGAAACAAGGCCCCAACAGCCCUCACAUACACACAGGGUUCCCAGGAGUGACAGGCAAAUAUGUUUAUUGUCCUGCAAAAGUAUUUUCGAGGUACCAAAGCCAAGGAAUGGAAAGAAAGAUGACCUGGAGGGAGUUCCUGGUCUCAGCUUUUUAUGAAGCGGAAAAGCAGAGAUGGGUAGCUAACAAGAACAAAUAAAACAACAUUCUCUUUCUCUCUCACACACACACUAGCCCCAAUGUAUAAAAAUUGUAAUACCUUGUUUAUUUUAUGUAUGCUCCAUUUUAUUUGAAGAUUGGAGAUAUCUGGGCCUACAUAUCCAUUAUACAUAUCUAAAUAAUUACUCAAUAUCUAUCAAAUCAAAAUGUGAUUUGUAAUACAGUAUUGCUUGUUAAUGUGUACAGUUCUUGGGAAAAUUCUGUGUGGUUUUGUCUGAGUUGAACAUUUUCUUCCCUCGGUGUGCAAUAAAAGUG